UUGUUUGCAAUUGGAAAGCCUGUGGGGUC
rnacentral:piRNA from 1 species